rnacentral:lncRNA from 1 species
UCAUGACGUGGAGGGACAUUAUCAGUAAUGUCCUCAGGGUCUCCCUCCUCGGCUGAUUAGGUGAGGUGAUACUAAGGAGUGUGGUUUCCUCAGCGCUUCUCGAUCAUCCUCAUAUGUAACAUGCUCGAGAUGCCUUGUGGAGACAUCUGGCCAAUGAGAGUGAGGGAGGAUGAUUGGGUUGCUGUGUUAAGUAGCUCGAAGUGCUAUGCUAGUCUUGUAACGUAAGGGCCAAUGGAGAUGACCCCUUCC